AACGAGCGCUGGCGGCAUGCCUAACACAUGCAAGUCGAACGAGAUCUUCGGGUCUAGUGGCGCACGGGUGCGUAACGCGUGGGAAUCUGCCCUUUGGUUCGGAAUAACAGUUGGAAACGACUGCUAAUACCGGAUGAUGAGGAAAGUCCAAAGAUUUAUCGCCAGAGGAUGAGCCCGCGUAGGAUUAGCUAGUUGGUGUGGUAAAGGCGCACCAAGGCGACGAUCCUUAGCUGGUCUGAGAGGAUGAUCAGCCACACUGGGACUGAGACACGGCCCAGACUCCUACGGGAGGCAGCAGUGGGGAAUAUUGGACAAUGGGCGAAAGCCUGAUCCAGCAAUGCCGCGUGAGUGAUGAAGGCCUUAGGGUUGUAAAGCUCUUUUACCCGGGAUGAUAAUGACAGUACCGGGAGAAUAAGCUCCGGCUAACUCCGUGCCAGCAGCCGCCGUAA
rnacentral:rRNA from 1 species